rnacentral:rRNA from 1 species
CUUCUCUACGGGGGGCAGCAGUAGGGAAUCUUCGGCGAUGGGCGAAAGCCUGACCGAGCAACGCCGCGUGAAUGAAGAAGGCCUUCGGGUUGUAAAAUUCUGUUAUAAGGGAAGAAAGGUGAUAGGAGGAAAUGACUAUCAAUUGACGGUACCUUAUGAGAAAGCCACGGCUAACUACGUGCCAGCAGCCGCGGUAAUACGUAGGUGGCAAGCGUUAUCCGGAUUUAUUGGGCGUAAAGCGAGUGCAGGCGGUUCAAUAAGUCUGAUGUGAAAACCUUCGGCUCCACCGGAGAAUUGCAUCAGAA